rnacentral:tRNA from 1 species
CGGGGUGUAGCGUAGCCCGGUUAGCGCGCCGGCAUGGGGUGCCGGAGGUCGGAGGUUCAAAUCCUCUCACCCCGACCA